rnacentral:tRNA from 1 species
GGCCUCUGUGGUUCAGUGGUUGAACGUUGGGCUCAAAAUCCGGAGGUCCCGGGUUCGAAUCCCGGUGAGGACCA